rnacentral:tRNA from 1 species
GCCCACAUAGCUCAGUCGGUAGAGCACGUCUUUGGUAAAGACGAGGUCACCAGUUCGAUCCUGGUUGUGGGCUCCA